GUGAAAUUCUCUGGAAGUUUGCUCCUUUGGAUUUUGAUUAGUCGUUGAAGACAUUUUGGUUGUUUGUGUGGAAUUCACGGGGAAGUUUGUUCCUUCUGAUGUUGGAUUUAGGGCAGGGCUGUCCAACCUGCGCCCCCCCAGAUGUUGCUGAACUACAACUUCCAUGAUUCCCUGGCUAUCUGUUUAAUUGAAAGAAUCAUGGGAGAUGUAGUUCAGCAACAUCUGUG